GAUGAACGCUAGCUACAGGCUUAACACAUGCAAGUCGAGGGGAAACGAUGAGAGAGCUUGCUCUUUCAGGCGUCGACCGGCGCACGGGUGAGUAACGCGUAUCCAACCUGCCCAUUACAGGGGAAUAACCUUGCGAAAGUAAGACUAAUGCCCCAUGGUAUUCUCAGCAGACAUCUAAUGAGGAUUAAAGAUUUAUCGGUAAUGGAUGGGGAUGCGUCUGAUUAGCUUGUUGGCGGGGUAACGGCCCACCAAGGCAACGAUCAGUAGGGGUUCUGAGAGGAAGGUCCCCCACAUUGGAACUGAGACACGGUCCAAACUCCUACGGGAGGGCAGCAGUGAGGAAUAUUGGUCAAUGGGCGAGAGCCUGAACCAGCCAAGUAGCGUGCAGGAAGACGGCCCCUAUGGGUUGU
rnacentral:rRNA from 1 species